GGCAAAUGAGGGGAGAGGAGCUUCAAGAAUUGAGUAUUGAAGAGUUGCAGCAGUUGGAGAGGUCCCUUCAAAUAGGUUUGGGCCAUGUUAUCAACAAUAAGGGUGAAAAGAUUAUGAAGGAAAUAAACCAGCUUCAAGAAAAGGGAGUGCAUUUAAUGGAAGAAAAUGAACGAUUAAGACAGCAGGUGGUAGAGACAUC